GGUGCUGUGGCUCAAGAGGUAGAGCGCUUGCCUUGAGCGCAAGGACAGUGCCC
rnacentral:tRNA from 1 species